CGGGAAGUGGCGCAAUGGCUAGCGCGCGCGCUUCGGGUGCGCGAGGUUGUGGGUUCGAGUCCCGCCUUCCCGA
rnacentral:tRNA from 1 species